UACGUAGGUGGCGAGCGUUGUCCGGAUUUACUGGGCGUAAAGAGCGCGCAGGCGGCUGGUCAAGUCCGAUGUGAAAGCUCCCGGCUUAACUGGGAAAUUGCAUCGGAAACUGAUCGACUCGAAGGCAGGAGAGGGAAGUGGAAUUCCCGGUGUAGUGGUGAAAUGCGUAGAGAUCCGGAGGAACCCCAGAGGCGAAGGCGGCGUCCUGGCUCGCAUCUGACGCUCAGACACGACAGCAUGGGGGGCGAACGGG
rnacentral:rRNA from 1 species